UACAGAGACUGCAAGCGUUAUUCGGAUUCACUGGGCGUAAAGCGUGCGCAGGCGGUUUUGUAAACCAGAUGUGAAAGCCCCGGGCUUAACCUGGGAAUGGCAUUUGGGACUGCAAGGCUUGAGUGCGGCAGAGGAGACUGGAAUUCCUGGUGUAGCAGUGAAAUGCGUAGAUAUCAGGAGGAAUACCGAUGGCGAAGGCAGGUCUCUGGGCUGACACUGACGCUCAUGCACGAAAGCGUGGGGAGCAAACAGG
rnacentral:rRNA from 1 species